ACUAAGCGUACACGGUGGAUGCCUUGGCAGUCAGAGGCGAUGAAGGACGUGCUAAUCUGCGAUAAGCGUCGGUAAGGUGAUAUGAACCGUUAUAACCGGCGAUUUCCGAAUGGGGAAACCCAGUGUGAUUCGUCACACUAUCAUUAACUGAAUCCAUAGGUUAAUGAGGCGAACCGGGGGAACUGAAACAUCUAAGUACCCCGAGGAAAAGAAAUCAACCGAGAUUCCCCCAGUAGCGGCGAGCGAACGGGGAGCAGCCCAGAGCCUGAAUCAGUGUGUGUGUUAGUGGAAGCGUCUGGAAAGGCGUGCGAUACAGGGUGACAGCCCCGUACACAAAAAUGCACAUACUGUGAGCUCGAUGAGUAGGGCGGGACACGUGGUAUCCUGUCUGAAUAUGGGGGGACCAUCCUCCAAGGCUAAAUACUCCUGACUGACCGAUAGUGAACCAGUACCGUGAGGGAAAGGCGAAAAGAACCCCGGCGAGGGGAGUGAAAAAGAACCUGAAACCGUGUACGUACAAGCAGUGGGAGCACGCUUAGGCGUGUGACUGCGUACCUUUUGUAUAAUGGGUCAGCGACUUAUAUUCUGUAGCAAGGUUAACCGAAUAGGGGAGCCGAAGGGAAACCGAGUCUUAACUGGGCGUUAAGUUGCAGGGUAUAGACCCGAAACCCGGUGAUCUAGCCAUGGGCAGGUUGAAGGUUGGGUAACACUAACUGGAGGACCGAACCGACUAAUGUUGAAAAAUUAGCGGAUGACUUGUGGCUGGGGGUGAAAGGCCAAUCAAACCGGGAGAUAGCUGGUUCUCCCCGAAAGCUAUUUAGGUAGCGCCUCGUGAAUUCAUCUCCGGGGGUAGAGCACUGUUUCGGCAAGGGGGUCAUCCCGACUUACCAACCCGAUGCAAACUGCGAAUACCGGAGAAUGUUAUCACGGGAGACACACGGCGGGUGCUAACGUCCGUCGUGAAGAGGGAAACAACCCAGACCGCCAGCUAAGGUCCCAAAGUCAUGGUUAAGUGGGAAACGAUGUGGGAAGGCCCAGACAGCCAGGAUGUUGGCUUAGAAGCAGCCAUCAUUUAAAGAAAGCGUAAUAGCUCACUGGUCGAGUCGGCCUGCGCGGAAGAUGUAACGGGGCUAAACCAUGCACCGAAGCUGCGGCAGCGACGCUUAUGCGUUGUUGGGUAGGGGAGCGUUCUGUAAGCCUGUGAAGGUGUGCUGUGAGGUAUGCUGGAGGUAUCAGAAGUGCGAAUGCUGACAUAAGUAACGAUAAAGCGGGUGAAAAGCCCGCUCGCCGGAAGACCAAGGGUUCCUGUCCAACGUUAAUCGGGGCAGGGUGAGUCGACCCCUAAGGCGAGGCCGAAAGGCGUAGUCGAUGGGAAACAGGUUAAUAUUCCUGUACUUGGUGUUACUGCGAAGGGGGGACGGAGAAGGCUAUGUUGGCCGGGCGACGGUUGUCCCGGUUUAAGCGUGUAGGCUGGUUUUCCAGGCAAAUCCGGAAAAUCAAGGCCGAGGCGUGAUGACGAGGCACUACGGUGCUGAAGCAACAAAUGCCCUGCUUCCAGGAAAAGCCUCUAAGCAUCAGGUAACAUCAAAUCGUACCCCAAACCGACACAGGUGGUCAGGUAGAGAAUACCAAGGCGCUUGAGAGAACUCGGGUGAAGGAACUAGGCAAAAUGGUGCCGUAACUUCGGGAGAAGGCACGCUGAUACGUAGGUGAAGCGACUUGCUCGUGGAGCUGAAAUCAGUCGAAGAUACCAGCUGGCUGCAACUGUUUAUUAAAAACACAGCACUGUGCAAACACGAAAGUGGACGUAUACGGUGUGACGCCUGCCCGGUGCCGGAAGGUUAAUUGAUGGGGUUAGCGCAAGCGAAGCUCUUGAUCGAAGCCCCGGUAAACGGCGGCCGUAACUAUAACGGUCCUAAGGUAGCGAAAUUCCUUGUCGGGUAAGUUCCGACCUGCACGAAUGGCGUAAUGAUGGCCAGGCUGUCUCCACCCGAGACUCAGUGAAAUUGAACUCGCUGUGAAGAUGCAGUGUACCCGCGGCAAGACGGAAAGACCCCGUGAACCUUUACUAUAGCUUGACACUGAACAUUGAGCCUUGAUGUGUAGGAUAGGUGGGAGGCUUUGAAGUGUGGACGCCAGUCUGCAUGGAGCCGACCUUGAAAUACCACCCUUUAAUGUUUGAUGUUCUAACGUGGACCCGUGAUCCGGGUUGCGGACAGUGUCUGGUGGGUAGUUUGACUGGGGCGGUCUCCUCCUAAAGAGUAACGGAGGAGCACGAAGGUUGGCUAAUCCUGGUCGGACAUCAGGAGGUUAGUGCAAUGGCAUAAGCCAGCUUGACUGCGAGCGUGACGGCGCGAGCAGGUGCGAAAGCAGGUCAUAGUGAUCCGGUGGUUCUGAAUGGAAGGGCCAUCGCUCAACGGAUAAAAGGUACUCCGGGGAUAACAGGCUGAUACCGCCCAAGAGUUCAUAUCGACGGCGGUGUUUGGCACCUCGAUGUCGGCUCAUCACAUCCUGGGGCUGAAGUAGGUCCCAAGGGUAUGGCUGUUCGCCAUUUAAAGUGGUACGCGAGCUGGGUUUAGAACGUCGUGAGACAGUUCGGUCCCUAUCUGCCGUGGGCGCUGGAGAACUGAGGGGGGCUGCUCCUAGUACGAGAGGACCGGAGUGGACGCAUCACUGGUGUUCGGGUUGUCAUGCCAAUGGCACUGCCCGGUAGCUAAAUGCGGAAGAGAUAAGUGCUGAAAGCAUCUAAGCACGAAACUUGCCCCGAGAUGAGUUCUCCCUGACCCUUUAAGGGUCCUGAAGGAACGUUGAAGACGACGACGUUGAUAGGCCGGGUGUGUAAGCGCAGCGAUGCGUUGAGCUAACCGGUACUAAUGAACCGUGAGGCUUAACC
rnacentral:rRNA from 1 species